rnacentral:rRNA from 1 species
GAAGUCGGAAUCGCUAGUAAUCGUAGAUCAGAAUGCUACGGUGAAUACGUUCCCGGGCCUUGUACACACCGCCCGUCACACCAUGGGAGUGGGUUGCAAAAGAAGUAGGUAGCUUAACCUUCGGGAGGGCGCUUACCACUUUGUGAUUCAUGACUGGGGUGAAGUCGUAACAAGGUAACCGUAGGGGAACCUGCGGUUGGAUCACCUCCUUACCUUAAAGAA